UACUUAUUAGUUAAAUAAUAACAAUAGUUUGUGGAACUAUAAUUAUCCUAUAAACAC
rnacentral:tRNA from 1 species